GCUGUCGUAUUUGAUACUACAAGCUGGUACAAAUCUGGAGGAUUUAGUUAUGAACUUUCUCCCAAGGUGGCUAAUGUGAAGCUUAAUAUUUCUCCAAGCCCAGUUCUUGGAUUUCGUGGUUAUUUGCUUGAGAGAAAACUAGAUUCUCCAAAACUCUGGUCAGCAGAACAAGUUUCAAUCAGUUAAAUAGUUAUUUCAAAAAAGGUGAAAAAAAUAAUGUGACGACGACAACUUUGUGGAUAACACAUGGCAAAGAAGAUCCCUCUCUGUAAUGGCAGGAAGAGUAUUUACUCAGCUAGGACACUGCCCUUAGAGAGAGAAGAUUUUUUUUUUGGAUUUGAAUAACAAGAAGUUUCUGGUUCUUCAACUAGGUAAUGCUUAUUAAUUUUUUUGUAGAUGGUUUUAUUUUUCCAAAGGUGGGAUCUGUACUCUUUUUACAGUUUUUAGUAAUGUGAAUCAUAUAUUCUUUUGGCAUGAGGGAAAUGCAACUCAAUUUUGCUAUAAAGCUGGUGAAGUUUGAUUUUUAUCAGUUA